UACGUAGGGUGCAAGCGUUAAUCGGAAUUACUGGGCGUAAAGCGUGCGCAGGCGGUUAUGCAAGACAGAGGUGAAAUCCCCGGGCUCAACCUGGGAACUGCCUUUGUGACUGCAUAGCUAGAGUACGGUAGAGGGGGAUGGAAUUCCGCGUGUAGCAGUGAAAUGCGUAGAUAUGCGGAGGAACACCGAUGGCGAAGGCAAUCCCCUGGACCUGUACUGACGCUCAUGUGCGAAAGCGUGGGGAGCAAACAGG
rnacentral:rRNA from 1 species